rnacentral:rRNA from 1 species
GACGAACGCGGCGGCGUGCCUAAUACAUGCAAGUAGGACGCACAGCCUAUACCGUAGCUUGCUACACCAUAGGCUGUGAGUUGCGAACGGGUGAGUAACGCGUAGGUAACCUGCCUAUUAGAGGGGGAUAACUAUUGGAAACGAUAGCUAAUACCGCAUAACAGUAUGUAACACAUGUUAGAUGCUUGAAAGAUGCAAUUGCAUCGCUAGUAGAUGGACCUGCGUUGUAUUAGCUAGUAGGUAGGGUAAUGGCCUACCUAGGCAACGAUACAUAGCCGACCUGAGAGGGUGAUCGGCCACACUGGGACUGAGACACGGCCCAGACUCCUACGGGAGGCAGCAGUAGGGAAUCUUCGGCAAUGGGGGGAACCCUGACCGAGCAACGCCGCGUGAGUGAAGAAGGUUUUCGGAUCGUAAAGCUCUGUUGUUAAGGAAGAACGAGUGUGAGAAUGGAAAGUUCAUACUGUGACGGACUAACCAGAAAGGACGCA